GCCUCAGUAGCGGCGAGUGAAGCGGCAAGAGCUCAGAUUUGAAAUCUCACCUAGUGUGCGAGUUGUAAAUUGCAGGUUGGAGUCUCGGGUUAGACGUGUGUGCAAGUCCCUUGGAACAGGGUGCCACUGAGGGUGAGAGCCCCGUAGCGUGCAUGUCGACACCUGUGAGGCCCUUCUGACGAGUCGAGUUGUUUGGGAAUGCAGCUCUAAGUGGGUGGUAAAUUCCAUCUAAGGCUAAAUAUUGGCGAGAGACCGAUAGCGAACAAGUACUGUGAAGGAAAGAUGAAAAGCACUUUGAAAAGAGAGUGAAACAGCACGUGAAAUUGUUGAAAGGGAAGGGUAUUGGGCUCGACAUGGGAUUUACGCAUCGUUGCCUCUCGUGGGCGGCGCUCUGGGUUUUUCCUGGGCCAGCAUCGGUUUUCGUUGCAGGAUAAGGACAAUUGGAAUGUGGCUCCUCGGAGUGUUAUAGCCUUUUGUAGAUGCUGCGUAUGGGGACCGAGGGCUGCGGCGGACUCGUUUCGUCUCGGAUGCUGGCACAACGGCGCAAUACCGCCCGUCUUGAAACACGGACCAAA
rnacentral:rRNA from 1 species